AUUAAGAUGGCAGACAAGUGCACUGAGUUUAAGCCUCAUAUAUGAGAAGUUUUCUCUCUUAGUA
rnacentral:tRNA from 1 species